CCGCAUCUCUGGCGUGAGAAGCGGGCGCUUACCCGACUGAGCUACCACCGCUCGCUAAACUGUAUCGCUUCUACUACAAGAAAUUCAACAUCAUCUUGAAUUUAUUUCCACCAGAAAUAAUGCAGUUACUCCAAUGAACCAGUUGUUUUGCACACUCCGAUAUUAUGCAACUGGCAGUCAGUUAAUUACUUGUGGAGAUGUGAUAGGUGUGGAAGAACCAACAGCUUGCAGAAUCAUUCAUAGAGUUACUCAUGCAAUAGCAUUAUUGUAUAAAAUAUACAUUAAAUCUCCUGAUACCAUUCAGGAACAACGUU